UACCACUGUUUAUUUGGCAUUCCAUUCAUUUCAACAAAAACUCACACUUGUAAAUAAUAAAUUGUUAUAUGUCUUCAGUUAGUAUUCCUUAUGAUAUUUCAUUGAUUUGCAUUCAAAGCUAUUUCUUUAUCAAAGGUUCAAUCUAAUCUAAAUCAGAUGUUCACUAUCCUCUCCGUAAACUCCAUAACACAUACAGAGUUUACCCUAGAGAGGAUAGUGAACAUCUGAUUUUAAUUAGAUUGUCAAAGGUUAGGCAUUGUAAAAAUAUUUUCUCAUGUAAAAGUGAUUUACAAUUUCUAAUCCAGCAAAAACAAAAGAUUAUUGAGCCACCUAUAUACGUAUGUGGCCCCUUUGUGGCCUUUGUCCUGAUCUAAAGAAAAUUGGAAUUUCUAAAUACAUGCCAGUUAAUGAUAACAAAACAAAGCUGAUAGUAAAACAAAACUAUGAAGAGGGAGAUCAGCCACUGACUGGAUAGGAUGACAGGUAAAAUACAUACCCUGUACCAGUUUAUGCAACAUAUACAUUUAUUACAUUUAUACCAGUGAAAUAUCGGAAAUCAUUUAUUCUAUAAAAGUGGUAUUUUUCACAAUAUCACUUUUUCUGAUUUUAAAAUAUCACUGUUUUCUGAUUUGACCAAUCAAAACACUGCUUACAAACAACAAUGGGAGGAUUUAAAAGCUGCCCCGGUAGAAAUUGCUACCAAAAUGUAAUAAACAGAAUAUCUCACAAUAUAUAAAUAUCUUCAGUAAUAACAAAUAUAUUUCACUCGUGUGGCUAAAAUUUUGAUAUAUUUUUCACUCGUGCUGCAGACUCGUGAAAAAUAUCAAAAUAUUAGCCCACUCAUGAAAUAUAUUUGGUAUUACUGAAGACACUGUUAGAUACCCUCUGUAUUUAUCACAUAAUCCUUCUGUUAUCCAGUGAAUUCACCCGUGUAAUAUUUUUGCAUAUAUCACUAGUUGUGUAAUAAACCCUGACUCAGUCAGAAAUCUAUUGUCAUGUCAUAAUAUGUCAUGUCAUAAUAUAUAUUUGUCAUGAAAUGUGAAUGGGGCAACAAAAUGGCUGCCCUCCACAUUUUAAAUUUAAAACCCGUGAUGUAAUUUUUCUGAGUUAUGUGGAAAAAAAGUAUCUUAGAUUUGUUUUCAUUUUAUACGAGACUACAAGAAACUUCUUGAAGUUUGAAUUUCCGCUCAAAAUAGAAACUGUUCAAGGUCAUUUCAUAAAAUCUCAUAUUUAAUGAAAACUAAUGAUCAUUUAAGAUACUACAUAUCUUUCACUUUACUUUGCUAAAAAAAAUCAUACAUUUAAACUAAUGUCGACUGUUGCGAUCAGUCACUUUCACUCUAACGGCUGCAUAGUCUAAGAUUUCUUUAUCUCGGACACCUGACAUUUGACGUUUCCACAGAAAAAAUAUCUGUAUGUAGUAACACCCAAACAUUACUGUUUGGACCAGAGGAAACUGGUGACCUUAUAGUCAAGUAUGUAUAUUAGGACAAAAUUCAGGUGUGGUCUCCUAAUUACAAAUUGUAAAUAACAAAUACAAAAUAAUAUGAGAUUCAACAAACAUAU